CUCGUAGGUGGUUUGUCGCGUCGUCUGUGAAAUUCCGGGGCUUAACUCCGGGCGUGCAGGCGAUACGGGCAUAACUUGAGUACUGUAGGGGUAACCGGAAUUCCUGGUGUGGCGGUGAAAUGCGCAGAUAUCAGGAGGAACACCGAUGGCGAAGGCAGGUUACUGGGCAGUUACUGACGCUGAGGAGCGAAAGCAUGGGUAGCGAACA
rnacentral:rRNA from 1 species